GUGCCUUGGAUACAACAGAAAUUUCAACCAGAGGUUUUCUGUAAAGAAAACGAAAAGGACACCAUGUGUGUUGUGAUCUUUGUGUCAGAAGACCCAUGGAGCAUGCUUCCUACAGUGUGCUGAUGCUGAACAGCCAGUAUGAUUUGGUUUCUGCUUCUCAUGCAUCGAGACAGGAAGAGUUGGUCCUGUGAAGAAACCUGUGGUGAGGAAGACAAAACCACAGUCAACAUGAAUUCCAAGUGGUAACACUUAGUGUCCUGGGAUGGAGUGCUGAGAGAAAUCCGGAGGAUUCAGAGAAGAUGACCAAAAAGGACUACUUCACAGGGCUCCCAUGUGCUCAGCUUGCAAUUGGAUUCAGCCACCAGAGAUCCCUGGCAAGAGAAUAAAGAAAAAAUAUGUGGGCCACUGGCUUAGGAAGACUGCGUUUUCAGGGGAAAUGACCCAUGGGUGAGCGCUGUGGCACAGACUUAAAAGACUAUGACACUUUCUUUUGGCCUCCAUCAUUUCUGAUAAGAAAUUCACUGUCUUUCAAAUUAUUUGCUCUCACAGUCUCCAGCCGCCAUGAGAAGACAUGCCUUGCUUCCCCUUCACCUUCUGCCAUGAUUGUAAGUUUUCUGAAACGCUCAAACCAUGCUUCCUUUUAAGCCUGCAGAACUGUGAGUAAAUUAAACCUUUUUACUUAUAAAUUGCCCAGUAUUGGGUAUUUACUUAUAGCAGUGUGAAAAUGGACUAAUACAGUCAGUUUACUUCAUUAUUUCUUUUUCUUUCCCAGCUUGUGGAUAAAUCAUGAUAGCUCUGCCACUGAUUUGCCAUGUGACUUUGAAAGUGUUACGUUUCUUCCUUCAGGAGCUCUUGUAGGGCAGACCUGGUGGUGACAAAAUCUCUCAACAUUUGCUUGUCUGUAAAGUAUUUUAUUUCUCCUUCACUUAUGAAGCUUAGUUUGGCUGGAUAUGAAAUUCUGGGUUGAAAAUUCUUUGCUUUAAGAAUGUUGAAUAUUGGCCCCCACUCUCUUCUGGCUUGUAGAGUUUCUGCCGAGAGAUCAGCUGUUAGUCUGAUGGGCUUCCCUUUGUGGGUAACCUGACCUUUCUCUCCAGCUGCCCUUAAAAUUUUUUCCUUCAUUUCAACUUUGAUGAAUCUGACAAUUAUGUGUCUUGGAGUUGCUCUUCUCAAGGAAUAUCUUUGUGGUGUUCUCUGUAUUUCCUGAAUUUGAAUGUUGGCCUGCCUUGCUAGGUUGGGGAAGUUCUCCUGGAUAAUAUCCUUCAGAGUGUUUUCCAACUUGGUUCCAUACUCCCCGUCACUUUCAGGUACACCAAUCAGACAUAGAUUUGGUCUUUUCACAUAGUCCCAUAUUUCUUGGAGGCUUUGUUCAUUUCUUUUUAUUCCUUUUUCUCUAAACUUCUCUUCUCACUUCAUUUCGUUCAUUUGAUCUUCAAUCACUGAUACCCUUUCUUCCAGUUGAUCUAAUCGGCUACUGAAGCUUGUGCAUUCAUCAUGUAGUUCUCGUGCCAUGGUUUUCAGCUCCAUCAGGUCCUUUAAGGACUUCUCUGCAUUGGUUAUUCUAUUUAGCCAUUCACCUAAUCUUUUUUCAAGGUUUUUAACUUCUUUGCAAUGGGUUCGAACUUCCUCCUUUAGCUCCGAGAAGUUUGAUCGUCUGAAGCCUUCAUCUCUCAACUUGUCAAAGUCAUUCUCCAUCCAGCUUUGUUCCAUUACUGGUGAAGAGCUGUGUUCCUUUGGAAGAGGAGAGGUGCUCUGAUUUUUUGAAUUUUUAGUUUUUCUGUUCUGUUUUUUCCUCAUCUUUGUGGUUUUAUCUACCUUUGGUCUUUGAUGAUGGUGACGUACAGAUGGGUUUUUGGUGUGGAUGUACUUUCUGCUUGUUAGUUUUCCUUUUAACAGUCAGGACCCUCAGCUGCAGGUCUGUUGGAGUUUGCUGGAGGUCUACUCCAGACCCUGUUUGCCUGGGUAUCAGCAGCAGAGGCUGCAGAACAGCGAAUAUUGCUGAACAGCAAAUGUUGCUGUCUGAUCGUUCCUCUGGAGGUUUCCUCUCAGAGGGGUACCUGGCUGUGUGAGGUGUCAGUCUGCCCCUAAAGGGGGGUGCCUCCCAGAUAGGCUACUCAGGGUCAGGGACCCACUUGAGGAGGCAGUCUGUCCGUUCUCAGAUCUCAAACUCCGUGCUGGGAGAACCACUACUCUCUUCAAAGCUGUCAGACAGGGACAUUUAAGUCUGUAGAGGUUUCUGCUGCCUUUUGUUUGGCUAUGCCCUGUCCCCAGAGGUGGAGUCUACAAAGGCAGGCAGGCCUUCUUGAGCUGCGGUGGGCUCCACCCAGUUCGAGCUUCCCACCCACUUUGUUUACCUACUCAAGCCUGGCACCCCUUCCCCAGCCUCACUGCUGCCUUGCAGUUCGAUCUCAGACUGCUGUACUAGCAAUGAGUGAGGCCCCAUGGGCGUGGGACCCUCCGAGCCAGGCAUGGAAUACAAUCUCCUGGUGUGCCAUUUGCUAAGACCAUUGGAAAAGAUCAGUAUUAGGGUGGGAGUGAUGCGAUUUUCCAGGUGCCGUCUGUCACAGUUUGCUUGGCUAUGAAAGGGAAUUCCCUGACCCCUUGCGCUUCCUGAGUGAGGCGAUGCCUUGCCCUGCUUUGGCUCAUGCUUGGUGCACUGCACCCACUGUCCUGCACCUACUGUCCGACAAGCACCAGUGAGAUGAACCCAGUACCUCAGUUGGAAAUGCAGAAAUCACCCGUCUUCUGCGUGGCUUACACUGGGAGCUGUAGACUAGAGCUGUUCCUAUUCGGCCAUCUUGGAACCACCCCCCAAAACCGGUACCAGCCACUGCAAAAACAUGCCAAAUUGUAAAAACCAUCAAUGCUACGAAGAAACUGCAUCAAAUAAUGAGCAAAAUACCAGCUAACAUCAUACUGACAGGACAGGAUCAAAUUCACACAUAACAAUAUUAACUUUAAAUGUAAAUGGGCUAAAUGCUCCACAUAAAAGACACAGACUGGCAAAUUGGAUAAAGAGUCAAGACCCAUCAGUGUGCUGUAUUCAGGAAACCCAUCUCAUGUGCAGAGACACACAUAGGCUCAAAAAAAAAGGGAUGGAGGAAGAUCAACCAAGUAAAUGGAAAGCAAAAAAAAGCAGGGGUUGCAAUCCUAGUCUCUGAUUAAGCAGACUUUAAACCAACAAAGAUCAAAAGAGACAAAGAAGGCCAUUUCAUAAUGGUAAAGGGAUUAAUUCAACAAGAAGAGCUAACUAUCCUAAAUAUAUAUGCACCCAAUACAGGACCACCCAGAUUCAUAAAGCAAGUCCUUGGAGACCUACAAAGGGACUUAGACUCCCACACAAUAAAAAUGGGAGACUUUAACACCCCACUGUCAACAUUAGACAGAUCAACGAGACAGAAAGUUAACAAGGAUAUCCAGGAACUGAAUUCAGCUCUGCACCAAGAGGACCUAAUAGACAUCUAAGAACUCUCCACCCCAAAUCAACAGAAUAUACAUUCUUCUCAGCACCACACCACUCCUAUUCCAAAAUUGACCACAUAGUUGGAAGUAAAGCACUCCUCAGCAAAUGUAAAACAACAGAAAUUGUAAAAAACUGUCUCUCAGACCACAGUGAAAUCAAACUAGAACUCAGAAUUAAGAAACUAACUCAAUACCGCUAAACUACAUGGAAACUGAACAACCUGCUCCUCAAUGACCACUGGGUACAUAAUGAAAUGAAGGCAAAGAUAAAGAUGUUCUUUGAAACCAAGGAGAACAAAGACACAACAUACCAGAAUCCCUGGGAUACAUGUAAAGCAGUGUGUAGAGUGAAAUUUAUAGCACUAAAUGCCCACAAGAGAAAGCAGAAAAGAUCUAAAAUUGACACCCUAACAUCACAAUUAAAAGAACUAGAGAAGGAAGAGUGAACACAUUGAAAAGCUAGCAGAAGGCAAGAAAUAACUAAGAUCAGAGCACAACUGAAGGAGAUAGAGACACAAAAAUCCCUUCAAAAAUCAAUGAAUCCAGGAGCUGUUGUUGUGAAAAGAUCAACAAAAUUGAUAGACUGCUAGCAAGACGAAUAAAGAAGAAAAGAGACAAGAAUGAAAUAGAUGCAAUAAAAAAUGAUAAAGGGGAUAUCACCACCAAUCCCACAGAAAUACAAACUACCAUCAGAGAAUACUAUAAACACCUCUAUGCAAAUAAACUAGAAAAUCUAGAAGAAAUGGAUAAAUUCCUCGACACAUACACCCUCCCAAGACUAAACAAGGAAGAAGUUGAAUCCCUGAAUAGACCAAUAAUGGGCUCUGAAAUUCAGGCAAUAAUUAAUGGCUUACCAACCAAAAAAAGUCCAGGACCAGAUGGAUUCACAGCCAAAUUCUACCAGAGGUACAAGGAGGAGCUGGUACCAUUCCUUCUGAAACUAUUCCAAUCAAUAGAAAAAGAGGGAAUCCUCCCUAACUCAUUUUAUGAGGCCAGCCUCAUCCUGAUACCAACGCCUGGCAGAGACAAAACAAAAAAAGAGAAUUUUAGACCAAUAACCCUGAUGAACAUCGAUGAAAUAAUUCUCAGUAAAAUACUGGCAAACCAAAUCCAACAGCACAUCAAAAGCUAAUCCACCAUGAUCAAGUGGGCUUCAUCCCUGGGAUGCAAGGCUGGUUCAACAUAUGAAAAUCAAUAAACAUAAUCUAGCAUAGAAACAGAACCAAAGACAAAAACCACAUGAUUAUCUCAAUAGAUGCAGAAAAGGCCUUUGACAAAAUUCAACAGCCCUUCAUGCUAAAAACUCUCAAUAAAUUAGGUAUUGAUGGGAUGUAUCUCAAAAUAAUAAGAGCUAUUUAUGACAAACCCACAGCCAAUAUCAUACUGAAUGGGCAAAACCUGGAAGCAUUCCUUUUGAAAGCUGGCACAAGAUAGGGAUGCCCUCUCUCACCACUCCUAUUCCUAUUGGAAGUUCCUCACCACUUCCUAUUGGAAGUUCUGGCCAGGGAAAUCAGGCAGGAGAAGGAAAUAAAGGGUAUUCAGUUAGGAAAUGAGGAAGUCAAAUUGUCCCUGUUUGCAGAUGACAUGAUUGUAUAUCUAAAAAACCCCAUCAUCUCAGCCCAAAAUCUCCUUCAGCUGAUAAGCAACUUCAGCAAAGUCUCAGGAUACAAAAUCAAUGUGCAAAAAUCACAAGCAUUCUUAUACUCCAAUAACAGGCAAACAGAGAGCCAAAUCAUGAGUGAAUUCCCACUCACAGUUGCUUCAAAGAGAAGAAAAUACCUAGGAAUCCAACUUACAAGGGAUGUGGAGGAUCUCUUCAAGGAGAACUACAAACCACUGCUCAAGGAAAUAAAAGAGGAUACAAACAAAUGGAAGAACGUUCCAUUUUCAUGGGUAGGAAGAAUGAAUAUCGUGAAAAUGGCCAUAUUGCCCAAGGUAAUUUAUAGAUUCAAUGCCAUCCCCAUCAAGCUACCAAUGCCUUUCUUCACAGAAUUGGAAAAAACUACUUUAAAGUUCAUAUGGAACCAAAAAUAGCCCGCAUAGCCAAGACAAUCCUAAGCCAAAAGAACAAAGCCGGAGGUAUCACGCUACCUGACUUCAAACUAUGCUACAAGGCUACGGUAAACAAAACAGCAUGGUACUGGUACCAAAACAGAGAUAUAGACCAAUGGAACAGAACAGAGCCCUCAGAAAUAAUACCACACAUCUACAACCAUCUGAUCUUUGACAAACCUGAGAAAAACAAGAAAUGGGGAAAGGAUUCCCUAUUUAAUAAAUGGUGCUGGGAAAACUGGCUAGCCAUAUGGAGAAAGCUGAAACUGGAUCCCUUCCUUACACCUUAUACUAAAAUUAAUUCAAGAUGGAUUAAACACUUAAAUGUUAGACCUGAAACCAUAAAAACCCUAGAAGAAAACCUAGGCAAUACCAUUCAGGACAUAGGCAUGGGCAAGGACUUCAUGUCUAAAACACCAAAAGCAAUGGUAACAAAAGCCAAAAUUGACAAAUGGGAUCUAAUUAAACUAAAGAGCUUCUGCACAGCAAAAGAAACUACCAUCAGAGUGAACAGGCAACUACAGAAUGGGAGAAAAUUUUUGCAAUCCACUCAUCUGACAAAGGGCUAAUAUCCAGAAUCUACAAAGAACUCAAACAAAUUUACAAGAAAAAAACAAA